rnacentral:siRNA from 1 species
GGGUGUUGAGGGAGUCUGGGCAGU